rnacentral:lncRNA from 1 species
CUGCUGUCCUGGCGCAGUGGGGAGGAGGGCAGGCCUGGGGGCUGGACAGCAGCAGGGCCAGGGUGGUCUAAGCAAGGGGAGACGCGCCUCUGCUUCCUGCGACCUUGGCGGUGAGCCUGGGGACAGGGGUGAGGCCAGAGACGGACGGACGCAGGGGCCCGGCCCAAGGCGAGGCAGAACAGCGGCACUGAGGCAGAAAGGAAGAGGGCGGUGUGUUCACCCGCAGCCCAAUCCAUCACUCAGCAACUCCUAGACGCUGGUAGAAAGUUCCUCCGAGGAGCCUGCCAUCCAGUCGUGCGUGCAGAGGCAGCAUGAAACAGUGGGAUGUGCAGAGAGAAGACCUGGGUCCAGUAGCUCUGACACUCCUCAGCUGUAGAAACCUUGACAACUCUGCACAUCAGUUGUACAAUGGAACGGUAUUUUUUACUCUUCAUGUCUGAAAAGGCUAUGAUAAAGAUCAAGUAAGAUAUUCCAAAGAAUUUUAUAUUAUAAAGCAGUUUACACAUGUGAAUUACAAGUACCUCUCCUCCAACAAAGGUUGUGAAAAAAGACUAACUGUCAAUUACUACGGAAUACUUAGUACGCAUCUUCCACCAUCUUUUGAUAAGGUUUAUUUGCAAGAUGUCAGGCCAGUCAAGCACCACAAAAGUGACUUCUGAGUGCUCAACCUCUUUCAGAGGCUCAUGGGACUUCCAGAGAAUGUCCCAAGGUAUUGGUGGUUGGAAAUUUCCUCUUAUGCUUUUCUUCCCACAAGAAUCACCGCUAGCUUUCCCACGAUGCUUUGGGCAAGGGGAUUCUUCCUGUUACUUUCAUUACAGGUAGAGAAUCCAUCCAUCAGACUGGCAGGACCUCUAAAGGGGCACUUCAUCUGUUUCUCAGAAUAAAUGGUCCAUUCCCAAGUUCAAUCAAACGCUAUGCCUCUCUUCUGUCUUUUGUUUAAGUCUUCCCAGAAAGUUUCCAUGAUACCUCCAUAAUGAACUUUUUCAGUGCUUAACAGACUUCACUGUUGGAAGGCUCUUCCUUCUGUUUAAUCUCAGUCUAUUUCUUUUAACCCUAUUAUUGAGUUGUGAGGGGCUGGUUAUGAUGUAGUCCAGCAUAGCUGUCUCAGAAAUGGUUCAGAGACCAUUGCACCAGCAGAUUUGCUGGGCUCUAGCACUAGUCCUUCAUUGAUUAGCUGAGUCAUGUUGGGCAUAUCACUUAAAUUUUCUAUGCCUCAAUUUCCCACCCUUUCACCUUGUCCCUCUGAGCCAUGGUUUCCUCCUCUGUAAGAGGCGAAUAGCAAUAUCUUCCCUGGCUAAAGGAGGUCAUCGACUGCUGGAUGAUUUUGUGAGCAUUUCUAUUCCAGAAGAUUAUGUUGUAAUUACUAUUUAUUUAUACAUUCUCCCACCGCACAGUGAGUUCUAAGAAGAGGGAACCCCAUCUUUUUCACCUGUCCUCUAGCAGAUAGAG